rfam:Brevundimonas subvibrioides ATCC 15264, complete genome.
GGGGCCGUAGCUCAGUUGGUAGAGCGCCUGCUUUGCAAGCAGGAUGUCGUCGGUUCGACUCCGUCCGGCUCCA